GACGAACGCUGGCGGCGUGCUUAACACAUGCCAGUCGAACGGAAAGGCCCUGCUUUUGUGGGGUGCUCGAGUGGCGAACGGGUGAGUAACACGUGAGUAACCUGCCCUUGACUUUGGGAUAACUUCAGGAAACUGGGGCUAAUACCGGAUAGGAGCUCCUGCUGCAUGGUGGGGGUUGGAAAGUUUCGGCGGUUGGGGAUGGACUCGCGGCUUAUCAGCUUGUUGGUGGGGUAGUGGCUUACCAAGGCUUUGACGGGUAGCCGGACUGAGAGGGUGACCGGCCACAUUGGGACUGAGAUACGGCCCAGACUCCUACGGGAGGCAGCAGUGGGGAAUAUUGCACAAUGGGCGGAAGCCUGAUGCAGCAACGCCGCGUGCGGGAUGACGGCCUUCGGGUUGUAAACCGCUUUCGCCUGUGACGAAGCGUGAGUGACGGUAAUGGGUAAAGAAGCACCGGCUAACUACGUG
rnacentral:rRNA from 1 species